rnacentral:tRNA from 1 species
UCCAGGGUGGCGAAAUGGUAGCCGCACCUCACUGUUAAUGAGGCGCCUUUGGCGUGGGGGUUCGAGUCCCUCCCCUGGAGC